rnacentral:misc_RNA from 1 species
AAGGAGCACCACGAAAAGCAUCCCAACAAGUGGGGUGCAAGCCGUGAGGGGUUCUCGUCUGUAGUGGACGAAAGCCGGGUGCACGACAACAAGCAAAGCCAGACACACUAUUGGGUCCUGAGGCAACACUCGGGCUCUGUUCGAGAGUUGUCCCACCAUCUUGGUGGUGGGGUGUGGUGUUUGAGAAUUGGAUAGUGGUUGCGAGCAUCAAAUGGAUGCGUUGCCCUACGGGUAGCGUGUUCUUUUGUGCAAUUUUAUUCUUUGGUUUUUGUGU